rnacentral:lncRNA from 1 species
CACCACCAACUCGGCUUCUCCCUGUCUGCACCCAGGUUCACCCUGCUCAGUUCACUCCUGAGGCCCAAUUUGUUGCUCCAGUUUGACCUUCACCGGGCUGAACAGGAGGGCCCUUCCUCACCUCCUUUAUAAUAGCCGCAGGGAAUUGAGUGCCAGGGAAGUUUCUAGGGACUGGGAACACAGCCAUGAACAGCCAAGGUCGUGUUCUCACAGAGGUGACCUUCCUUGGAGAGUGUGUUAGGGUAGGUCAGCUGCUGUGACAAACAUCCCUCAAAUCUCAGUUGUUGAAUAAAAAGAAAAGCAAAAGCUUUUCUUCUUCAGAAAUCACAGCCCACUGCAGCUUGGCAGGGCAGUGCCUCCAGAGAAGCUGAGUUGGUG